UACGUAGGUGGCAAGCGUUGUCCGGAAUUAUUGGGCGUAAAGCGCGCGCAGGCGGUCCUUUAAGUCUGAUGUGAAAUCCCGCGGCUCAACCGCGGGCGGUCAUUGGAAACUGGGGGACUUGAGUACAGAAGAGGAAAGUGGAAUUCCACGUGUAGCGGUGAAAUGCGUAGAGAUGUGGAGGAACACCAGUGGCGAAGGCGACUUUCUGGUCUGUAACUGACGCUGAGGCGCGAAAGCGUGGGGAGCAAACAGG
rnacentral:rRNA from 1 species